GUUAACAGUGAAAUAGCACAAUAGAUAAUGCUAUGUUAAGUGGUCACAUUACCACUGGAAACACCUCUCAAGUCCACUAAUCAUGUCUGCCUUUGAACAGGAGUUAAGAGUCUGCUUACUAAUAAGUCUCCCCAUCUCUAGUACAUUUGAUAGUGCAGUGGGCUUGUCCGUGUUUGCUGUCUGAGACUCUAGAGGCUCAUUAGGCUAGACUAGACUACUUCUGAAACAAUGGAGCUCUGAGGGAUUAGCCAGCAAGUCUCCUGAAUGCAGAUUGAACCACAACCUGAUACACAACCUGAGAGUAAAAUCAAUGAGGCAGCAGGGAGGUUUAGAGCAAUGAGAGGGAUGCUGAUGAAUAAUAUGGAAAGAGAGGACUAUUAGAAGAACAUGCAGAUUUCUUGCAGUGCAGGUCUUUCAAAUUGCCAGUGCCUCAAAAAUUUCCCCACGUCUCAAAAAAAGGCAGAAUAGCCACUAUAGGCCAUCCAGAGAAAGACUUGCUCAACAAAUAUCACUUCUUCCCUGAAUCUUUGAACCAAUAAAAAUCAUAAUAUAUUCAAUUCUAACUUUGACUUUGAAUUCAUUAUUGCAGACAAAUUGACUGCUUUUGAAGUAUUCUGUACCUGUUUAAAACUUAAGUUACAGUGUAUAAUUGUUAAUUA